rnacentral:rRNA from 1 species
ACGUACGCUGGCGGCACGCCUAACACAUGCAAGUCGAACGAAGUAGCAAUACUUAGUGGCAGACGGGUGAGUAACAUGUAGGUAUCUGCCCUUUGGCCUGGAAUAACACGAGGAAACUUGUGCUAAUACCGGAUAAGUCUUUACGGAGAAAGCUUUAUGCACCAUUGGAUGAGCCUGCACUUGAUUAGUUUGUUGGUGGGGUAAUGGCCUACCAAGACUGUGAUCAAUAGCUGAUUUGAGAGGAUGAUCAGCCACAUUGGGACUGAGACACGGCCCAAACUCCUACGGGAGGCAGCAGUGGGGAAUCUUGCACAAUGGAGGAAACUCUGAUGCAGCGAUGCCGCGUGAGUGAAGAAGGCCCUUGGGUUGUAAAGCUCUUUCGUCGGGGAAGAAAAUGACUGUACCCGAAUAAGAAGGUCCGGCUAACUUCGUGCCAGCAGCCGCGGUAAUACGAAGGGACCUAGCGUAGUUCGGAAUUACUGGGCUUAAAGAGUUCGUAGGUGGUUGAAAAAGUUAGUGGUGAAAUCCCAGAGCUUAACUCUGGAACUGCCAUUAAAACUUUUCAGCUAGAGUAUGAUAGAGGAAAGCAGAAUUUCUAGUGUAGAGGUGAAAUUCGUAGAUAUUAGAAAGAAUACCAAUUGCGAAGGCAGCUUUCUGGAUCAUUACUGACACUGAGGAACGAAAGCAUGGGUAGCGAAGAGGAUUAGAUACCCUCGUAGUCCAUGCCGUAAACGAUGUGUGUUAGACGUUGGAAAUUUAUUUUCAGUGUCGCAGGGAAACCGAUAAACACACCGCCUGGGGAGUACGACCGCAAGGUUAAAACUCAAAUGAAUUGACGGGGACCCGCACAAGUAGUGGAGCAUGUGGUUUAAUUCGAAGAUACGCGCAGAACCUUACCAACACUUGACAUGUUCGUCGCGACUCUAAGAGAUUAGAGUUUUCGGUUCGGCCGGACGAAACACAGGUGCUGCAUGGCUGUCGUCAGCUCGUGUCGUGAGAUGUUGGGUUAAGUCCCGCAACGAGCGCAACCCUCACUUUUAGUUGCCAUCAUUAAGUUGGGCACUCUGAAAGAACUGCCAGUGAUAAGCUGGAGGAAGGUGGGGAUGACGUCAAGUCCUCAUGGCCCUUACGUGUUGGGCUACACACGUGCUACAAUGGUAUCUACAACAGGAAGCAAGACUGCGAAGUUAAGCAAAUCCCUAAAAGAUACCUCAGUUCGGAUUGCACUCUGCAACUCGAGUGCAUGAAGCUGGAAUUACUAGUAAUCGUGGAUCAGCGUGCCACGGUGAAUGCGUUCCCGGGUCUUGUACACACCGCCCGUCAAGG